rnacentral:rRNA from 3 species
GGACGCAUCACUGGUGUUCGGGUUGUCAUGCCAAUGGCACUGCCCGGUAGCUAAAUGCGGAAGAGAUAAGUGCUGAAAGCAUCUAAGCACGAAACUUGCCCCGAGAUGAGUUCUCCCUGAGACUUUAGGUCUCCUGAAGGAACGUUGAAGACGACGACGUUGAUAGGCCGGGUGUGUAAGCGCAGCGAUGCGUUGAGCUAACCGGUACUAAUGAACCGUGAGGCUUAACCUU